rnacentral:rRNA from 1 species
GACGAACGCUGGUGGCGUGCUUAACACAUGCAAGUCGAACGGGAUUUCGUAAACAGACGCCUCGGUGGAAGAUUACUAAUGAGAGUGGCGAACGGGUGAGUAACGCGUGAGCAACCUGCCUAUGACAGUGGGAUAGCCUCGGGAAACCGGGAUUAAUACCGCAUAAAAUCGUAGAAACACAUGUUUUAACGGUCAAAGAUUUAUCGGUCAUAGAUGGGCUCGCGUCUGAUUAGCUAGUUGGUGAGAUGACAGCCCACCAAGGCGACGAUCAGUAGCCGGUCUGAGAGGAUGAACGGCCACAUUGGAACUGAGACACGGUCCAAACUCCUACGGGAGGCAGCAGUGGGGAAUAUUGCACAAUGGGGGAAACCCUGAUGCAGCGACGCCGCGUGAACGAAGAAGGUAUUCGUAUCGUAAAGUUCUGUCCUAUGGGAAGAUAAUGACAGUACCAUAGAAGAAAGCUCCGGCUAAAUACGUG